CCCCCCAUAGGUUUCAGUAUUUGUCAAAUGGGACAAACUGUUUUAUCUACUUUAUGGAGAUACUAAAAAGUUACAUGUAGUUAUAUACAAGAAAAAGUCUCAGAAAUUAUAAGCAUUCAUUAGUAAUGAAGUCUUUAAAGUCUUUCCUAUUUUCAAUAUUGUCCUCUGUAUUUCACUGAUACUAUCACUUAUUCUUUACAUAUUUCUUCUAGUUUAAAAUUUAUGCUACAAUUUAAUUCUCAAUUUCUUAAUAAUUCUAUUUUCUUCAAAUCCCUAUCUCACUGUUUCAAAAUAACAAAUGAAUACUACCUUUCCAAAUUAUCUUAUAUAUUUUGAUUCAAGGGAAGAUCUUCAGAAUUCAACAUCAGGCUUUCCAAUCUCUUAAUCUUUGGCUUUAUUCCGUCUAUACCACUUUUUUUCUCAAAGGUUUGUCCCAUGUAGUAAAGAAGGGUCCCUCAGCAUUGAGUUCCUGCAGUCAUAACACCUGUACCUUGAAAAAGGCUACCACAUAGA
rnacentral:lncRNA from 1 species